UGUUCUCCCAUUUCCAACGAGUCCGCGCUUCCGAGAAGAGGUUGGUCAGUCUGCGAAGGGAACCAAUACGAGGCAAAGCGCGGAGCCGUCCGACUGUAAGCCACAUGCGAAGCCCCGUCUACUCUUUGGAUACUCGGCACGACAUAGCAACAUAAACGGACUACUUUUUUGUCUUCUUGUUGGAGUUUUCCCACGCUUUUUCAUCUUCCACCAUCCAUACCGACUGCCUCUGCGAACUCAACAAGAUGGAGAACGACGAUAAAUAUCUCCCCGAACUGCUGGCGGAGAAGGACAGCUUGGACUCGUCAUUUACGCACGCCACGAAACUUUUAAGCGCAGAAAUCGAUAGAGUGCAGAAAGGAGAGCCAAAGAAGGAGACUGAGACCUACCUGGACCUUUUCACAACAAAGAACAUCAAACUCAAGGAGCGAGUGCUCAUACCUGUCAAACAGUACCCAAAGUUCAAUUUCGUGGGGAAGAUCCUGGGACCGCAGGGCAACACGAUCAAGCGUCUGCAGGAGGAGACCGGAGCCAAGAUCUCUGUGCUGGGCAAGGGGUCCAUGAGAGACAAAGCCAAGGAGGAGGAACUGCGGAAAGGCGGCGAGCCCAAGUACGCCCACCUGUCCAUGGAGCUGCACGUCUUUAUUGAGGUGUUCGCCCCCGUGCCGGAUGGUUACCUGCGCAUGGCGCACGCCAUGGAGGAGGUCAAGAAGUUCCUGUUUCCUGAUAUGAUGGAUGAUAUCUGCCAGGGCCAGUUCAUGGAGAUGAGCUACCUGAACGGGGGCCAGGAGCACGGAGGCAGAGGCCGAGGGGGCAUGCCUGUCAGGGGCCGUGGUGUCCCCCCUGCUGGAGCACACAGGGGGAGAGGGAUGCCUCCUCACGGUGCUGCGGCCAGAGGAGGUGUGACUCGAGGAGGGCCAGCCAGGGGCGGAGCAGUGAGGGGCGCCCCGGCAGGCAGAGGAGGACCUCCUGCUGCCCCCGCCAGAGGGGCUGUGGCACCACGCGCCAGACCCCCGGCUGGCGGCCCGCCUCAGAGGAUGGCCCCUGCUCACCAGCACACAGCCGGCGCAGAGAACUACGACGAAUAUGGUUACGACGAGAGCUACACAGACACAGCCUACGAGUCUUACGACAGCUAUUACAGCCAGCCGCAGGCAGAACCAGAAUAUUACGACUACGGACACGGAGAGACGACCGAGUCGUACGAGCCUUACGAACAUGAGGAAAUGUGGCAAAGCCCCUGGGCCCAGGACGACUGGAAUGGCACCCAGCGGACGGCUACAGGGAAAGCGCCUCCCCCCUCUAGAGGCGGCAGCACGGCUUACCGGGAGCACCCCUACCGACAGUACUGAAGUGAAAUGGACCCUCUCCACCCUUAGUGUUGCCCCGAUAAAUCGCCCGUUACCACGGCAGCUCUCGCUUUAACAAGCCUGACAAAAGGACGGCUACUGAUCACUGAGCAUCCAGAGAGACGGUCUGCUGGAGACCAAAGAGCCCUCAGCAGAGAAAGUGGAGCAGGUCGCCGUGAAGAAGGUGGUCAGAUGAAAGUCUGGGGCAUCCUGACGGGGAGGGAAGAGCGCAAAGAUGGCUGCCGAGUCGGGGGCUAAAGGCAGAAGCUGUCCCUCAGAAACACAAAGAACCUUCUGUGAACUGUUGAGUCGUACUGGUGAAUUAGUCUAAUGAUUUUCUUAUCUUCGAAGACUUUCGAAUGCUUCCGUUCACAUUUCCCUCCUCUGGCGCCUAAUGCAGCAGAAAAUGAGCGCUCCUUUAUAUAGAACGCCGUGAAAUUGUUUUUAAUUUUCAUUAACCCCUCUGUAUCCGACCUGAAACGCUUCCCUUUUGGCUUUGACUGGCUUUUUUUUUUUUUUUUUUCUUUAAUAAUAUCGGGGAAUCGUUUUUUUUUUUAUUUCAUGCCUCAUCGUUGCAGGAAAUGAUACUCAACAGUUUGAGACAGGGAGCGCGUGAAUCCAGAGAUGUCCCACGCCAACGCAGAAGCAUGUUUCGCAUCCAGACGCUGUCCUGUUCUCAGCACUUUCACAUCCAGAUCGUUAGAAUUCAGCGAGACGACCGAGCGGGAGGGAAAGAGGAGGUGGGGAGGGGAGACAAAGACAGUCAUCACCAACAUCCUCCUCUCAUCCAUCCAUCCAUCCAUCCAUCCUUCCAUCAUGUUUCUGUUGAUUCGAUCUGCCGUUUUCAGCCAUUAUCACUCAUGACAUUACAGCAGCCCGUGGUGCCGAAUUACACUCAGAGGUCAAAACUCUACUUUCCCAUAUUAAAAACAAAUUUCCCGGCGCUGAGCCGCUGGUCAGAGGCAGCAUUAGCUCCUUUCGGCUUAUUGGAAAAAGCCUCUGCUGAACGAUAGACGUCAGGACUGGGAGAGAUGGGGGGGGAAAAGAAACAUCACUGGAGAUGAAACGUCAAUGGAGCCAUAUUCAAAACACACCAUUUUUCAGUCUUUAUUCGCUAUUACGUCUCGAGUAAUGAUCCCCACGUCUCCUAUAAUCUAAUGCCAGAUAAGUGAUGGUGUGGAAGCAGUCUCGUUUGGGAAUCGACAAACUGUCAGGAAGCAUAAAGGCGGAGAGGAAAGUAAACGUUACCGGGGCGCCAAUCAAUGAAAGGUAGACUUUUGAAUAUGAGCCGGGCCGCGGAUCCGUCGCUUUUCCUCUCUGUUCACGUCCGACGGGUCGGCGGCGCCUCGCUGAGGGUGGGAUGUGUUAAAAUGCAGAGUGGACAGCUGGAUCGCUUCCCCCUGGCCUUGACGGAUUCACACCAUCAGAAGAACAUCGCAUGCUGAUGCCUGUUAAAUAUAAAAAAUAAAAAAAAAGGUGACAGAGAAGCUCUCUUUCAGACGCAGCAGGACGGGCGGUAAUCUGGAGGUAGGAGGGGGACUUAAUGUAUGCCCGCCUCAUGGCUGGUGUCCUUGAUGGUCCAGGGGAACGGCAGGAAAACCUCUGAAGAUUUAUAUGGAUGGAUUCUAUUAAUAAAUACUGUGUGUGUGUGUAUGCGCGCGCGCUGUUUACACCAGGUAUGGGGGGGGAUGCUAGUCUCAAAGAUACAAGGUGGAGGUCAGCAGCUUUAUUAAUUGUGAAUUCUAAUAAAUAAAAAUAAGGUUAUUUUAUUUUCAUGUCUUAAUGUGCUACCAAGAUUCAAACCUGCAAUUUGGGAUAGCAAUCUUAUGUUUUUUUUUUUUUUUCUUCCAAUUCCAGCGGCAAAUGUCUGUAUUUUAUGUAAUAAACACAAAGUGUAAAACUAAGAGGAAUGAAAAUUGUAUACUUUUACAAAUAAAACUCUCAAAAGUGCUUUGUGUUUGGUGAUGUACCUAAAUAAAGGUGCUCUGAAGCAGC